CGUCCCCCAAGUAAAUUGCAUAUGAUACAUCAGUUCCCCCUCCUCUUUAACUUUUACAUACAGAUGCAUUUUGUAUGUCCUCUCUUCUUCUCUUAGUUUCACCGUGCUGUGAUCUAGCUUCUUUGUCCCUUGUGUAAUUCUUUUUGCAGGCUUUAGUUGAUAAUUUCAUGAGUGCUUCCAUGACUCUGUGUGUUUUUACUCAGAAAGAGAGAGAGAGAGAGAGAGAGAGAGAGAGAGAGAGAGAGAGAGAGAGAGAGAGAAGUCUGUACGUAGGUGUUUGAGAGAGAAAAGGGCAAAGAAAGGAGUGGUUGUGGGUGAGAGAGAAACAUGGUAGUGGUAAGAUGGUUUUGCUCAAGACCGCGCAACGCUUCCAUAUGACACCGCAUCGCUGUCCUCACCUAUCCAUGAAUCCAUCGUUGGCCUUGAAGAAGAAAGCUGGAAGGAGGGACAUGAUCCGCGAGCAAGAGAGAAGGAGCGAUAGGUCAGGUCGUCGAUGCGCUGGUUAUGGCCAAGCUGCGCGAUCUUAAGCAAGAUCUUGCCAUGUGACGUCUCGCCACCUUUCUCUUUUUGCACGGAUGUGCAUAUAGAAGGGGCAUAGAGACACACCCUCGAACACACAGAGACUCAGAGAUAGAGAUCAAGGGGGUGAAACGAAGUAGAGCACCACCAAAUGAUCUCAAUACUCGAAAAUCUCUUCCAUUAGAGCUCACCAGGGAAAGACGGAAAGCUGAAAAGAGAUACUAGUAUAUAGAAAAAUAAUUUUGGAAAUUGGAAGUCUUCUAUAAUGCGAAUGCUAACCAACUUUUUUGUUGUUCCAUUAUGCAUUUAUUAUCUGUUUUCAGAAGUUUCUUUCUUUUUAGCUGGAGAGACUGACAACAGAGUAGAGAUGUGAUUAGAAAGAGAGAAGCGGAUGGAAUAUGAGACGGGGCGAGAAGACUGGGAGCGGAAAAGCCGUCCUAAUAAACGACGCAGUCCGUUCGAGGCUUUCCUAUCCCGUUCCAUCGGCAGGGGCGCGCGCGGAGGAGAGAGAGGCCCGUCCCUCGAGAGAUCGAACUCCCGAGAAUGGCGACGUAACGGCUAGGAUUUCAGGUUCGGCCGUGCCCGACUCGUAUCUACUCUCCCUUCCACGUUGCGCAUGUGCGAUUCGGCGCAUAUUCGAUCGAUCAACGCCGUGCGCUGCACGUUGCCAUGUCCGUCCCUUCAUGCUCCUCCUCCUCAAACCCUCCUUCCUCUCUCUCUCUCUCUCUCUCUCUCUCUCUCUCUCUCUCCCUCUCCCUCCUCCAAUACGAUAUUAUUGGGUUGGAAAUUAGUGAGGCUGGAGUUUGGGCGCCCCCCUGCUUCAUGCUAACGAGGGAGGGUCGUCAUUUCUGGCCAUUUCUUUAUCUGAGGUUGAGGGCUCCUUAAAGCUCUAGUAUAUUUGAGAAUGUUUAUGACAGAAAAAAAGUUGGGGAAAGAAAAGUAAGAGAAAGGUAUGUGCAGUUGAAGUGAUUUUUCUUUUCUUUUCUUUUCCGUGAAAUGUAGUUGAAGUGAAAACUCUGGGUGGUUCUUGAUGCUAUUUGAAUAGACUUAUAUCUAAUGCUCAUCGCUAUUGUGGUAUUGGUGGU